rnacentral:rRNA from 1 species
CCUACGGGUGGCAGCAGUGAGGAAUAUUGGUCAAUGGGCGCGAGCCUGAACCAGCCAAGUCGCGUGAGGGAAGACGGCCCUACGGGUUGUAAACCUCUUUUGCCGGGGAGCAACGGGCGCCACGUGUGGCGCCACUGAGAGUACCCGGAGAAAAAGCAUCGGCUAACUCCGUGCCAGCAGCCGCGGUAAUCCGGAGGAUUCAAGCGUUAUCCGGAUUUAUUGGGUUUAAGGGGUGCGUAGGCGGUCGGUUAAGUUAGUGGUGAAAUCCCGAGGCUCAACUUCGAAAUUGCAUCUGAUACUGGUCGGCUAGAGAGUAGUUGAGGUAGGCGGAAUGUAUGGUGUAGCGGUGAAAUGCUUAGAGAUCAUGCAGAACACCGAUUGCGAAGGCAGCUUACCAAGCUACUACUGACGUUGAGGCACGAAAGCGUGGGGAGCAAACAGGAUUAGAUACCCGUGUAGUC